rnacentral:rRNA from 1 species
GACGAACGCUGGCGGCGUGCUUAACACAUGCAAGUCGAACGGAAAGGCCCUGCUUUUGUGGGGUGCUCGAGUGGCGAACGGGUGAGUAACACGUGAGUAACCUGCCCUUGACUUUGGGAUAACUUCAGGAAACUGGGGCUAAUACCGGAUAGGAGCUCCUGCUGCAUGGUGGGGGUUGGAAAGUUUCGGCGGUUGGGGAUGGACUCGCGGCUUAUCAGCUUGUUGGUGGGGUAGUGGCUUACCAAGGCUUUGACGGGUAGCCGGCCUGAGAGGGUGACCGGCCACAUUGGGACUGAGAUACGGCCCAGACUCCUACGGGAGGCAGCAGUGGGGAAUAUUGCACAAUGGGCGGAAGCCUGAUGCAGCAACGCCGCGUGCGGGAUGACGGCCUUCGGGUUGUAAACCGCUUUCGCCUGUGACGAAGCGUGAGUGACGGUAAUGGGUAAAGAAGCACCGGCUAACUACGUGCCAGCAGCCGCGGUGGUACGUAGGGUGCGAGCGUUGUCCGGAUUUAUUGGGCGUAAAGGGCUCGUAGGUGGUUGAUCGCGUCGGAAGUGUAAUCUUGGGGCUUAACCCUGAGCGUGCUUUCGAUACGGGUUGACUUGAGGAAGGUAGGGGAGAAUGGAAUUCCUGGUGGAGCGGUGGAAUGCGCAGAUAUCAGGAGGAACACCAGUGGCGAAGGCGGUUCUCUGGGCCUUUCCUGACGCUGAGGAGCGAAAGCGUGGGGAGCGAACAGGCUUAGAUACCCUGGUAGUCCACGCUGUAAACGGUGGGUACUAGGUGUGGGGUCCACUCCACGGGUUCCGUGCCGUAGCUAACGCUUUAAGUACCCCGCCUGGGGAGUACGGCCGCAAGGCUAAAACUCAAAGGAAUUGACGGGGCCCCGCACAAGCGGCGGAGCAUGCGGAUUAAUUCGAUGCAACGCGUAGAACCUUACCUGGGUUUGACAUGGAUCGGGAGUGCUCAGAGAUGGGUGUGCCUCUUUUGGGGUCGGUUCACAGGUGGUGCAUGGCUGUCGUCAGCUCGUGUCGUGAGAUGUUGGGUUAAGUCCCGCAACGAGCGCAACCCUUGUUCACUGUUGCCAGCACGUUAUGGUGGGGACUCAGUGGAGACCGCCGGGGUCAACUCGGAGGAAGGUGGGGAUGACGUCAAGUCAUCAUGCCCCUUAUGUCCAGGGCUUCACGCAUGCUACAAUGGCUGGUACAGAGAGUGGCGAGCCUGUGAGGGUGAGCGAAUCUCGGAAAGCCGGUCUCAGUUCGGAUUGGGGUCUGCAACUCGACCUCAUGAAGUCGGAGUCGCUAGUAAUCGCAGAUCAGCAACGCUGCGGUGAAUACGUUCCCGGGGCU